rnacentral:rRNA from 1 species
UACGGGGGGUGCGAGCGUUGUCCGGAAUCAUUGGGCGUAAAGAGCGUGUAGGCGGUCCGGUAAGUCCGCUGUGAAAGUCGGGGGCUCAACCCUCGAAUGCCGGUGGAUACUGUCGGGCUAGAGUGCGGAAGAGGCGAGUGGAAUUCCUGGUGUAGCGGUGAAAUGCGCAGAUAUCAGGAGGAACACCGGUGGCGAAGGCGGAUCUCUGGGCCAUUACUGACGCUGAGGAGCGAAAGCGUGGGGAGCGAACAGG